rnacentral:piRNA from 1 species
GUGAGCCUCUUGAAGAAAUGCUGGCAUGAU